rnacentral:rRNA from 1 species
GCGACCCCAGGUCAGGCGGGGCUACCCGCUGAAUUUAAGCAUAUCAAUAAGCGGAGGAAAAGAAACUU